UCUGUGGUCCGUCUAAUUAGUCUCCGCGUCGUUCCCCAUUUUUCCUGGAAUCCCCUCGUCUCCGCUCCCUCGCCGGCCACCACGCCCUCACCCACGCCGCUCGCUGCCGCUCCCUCCUCCCGGUCCACCCUCCUGCCGACGUCACGCCUCCAUCCACGCACUCUUCGGUCACUUCUCCGCCUCCCUCGCCUCUCCGCAUCCAGCUCUUGCCGAGCUUCCGUCCUAAAAAUUAAAUCUUGGCCGUGGUUGGGCUUGCCGAGCGGUGGCGGAAGUGAAGAGAUCCGGUGGAGGGGAAGCUCGUCCGGUGGCGCAGAAGCUCGAUCCGGCAGGGCAACUGCAGAGAUGGUGGACGCGGAGGCGAUGGCGGUGGUCAGGGACGGGUGCACGUGGCGGGGUGGCUCGUCCGCGCCGUCGACAUGGAGGAACUCUGCCUUGCCGUGCACGACGAGAUGUUGCCCGGUGGAUGGCGAGGCUGGAUCUCAGCUCCACCAUCCUUUGCUUCCUGAAGAUCAAAGAUGAUACACAGCUGCCCAAAGCAGUGCCCUUCCCUUGCACCAUCACCACCUUCAACAACUCAUGUGGCUGGUAAAUCUGCAUCCCAAGCCAAGGCUCUCCCUUCAACAGAACACAUUCAUGUAAAAUUGUUAUGGAGCAACAAAGACCAAAGAACACAUGGAGCAAUAAAAAUGUAUGAGCUUGACCAUCUGGAUUGUUUUAGAUUCUGGAAGCCUUCAUGCUUCAUUGGCAGAGGCUUCAUUCCUCAUUGGACUAGGGGAGAACAGGGAGCAGCGGGACGCGGUGGCCUGGAGCUCGCCUAGAGCAGAGGAACGAGGAGGACGCGGGGGGCUUGUCGGAGGACGACUUGCGGCUGCCCUUGGCGUCGGAGGUGCUGGCGUUGCGGGGAAGCUGAUGCGUGGCCUUGACCGCCACCUUCGCGUGCUCAGCCUCGUGCCGCGACGCCGGCAGCGGCUGUGGAGGGGCAGGUCGUCGUAGCGGUCGGAGGUGGUCCGGGCGGAGGGACGGCGGCGGCGGCGGCGGCAGCAGGGCUCGCUCGGACCUGCUGGCCGGAGGAGAUGGUGGGGCAGCGACUUGUGGAGGCGGAGCUCGCCUGGGAAGACGAUCGGGAGUAGGAGGAGCUAGAAUUGUUAAUGUUUUACAAUGUGAAGGUCUUUUUUGUAAAAUGGCAUUUAGUUCAGACGAAAAUCUCCUGGCGUCAAUUUUUUUGGGGACGGAGGGAGUAGUAUCUAAUUAUCGGGAUAAGUAAAAUAAAGGAACUAUACAAACUCAUUUGUUUUUGGGUCUGUCUAUUGCACAGGCGAUUGUUUUUUCUUUUCAAAACAGUCACCUGUUAUUUUGUCGCCUGGUUUUUGAUAAAAACCAGUCACAA